rnacentral:rRNA from 1 species
AUUGAACGCUGGCGGCAUGCUUUACACAUGCAAGUCGAACGGUAACAGGUUAAGCUGACGAGUGGCGAACGGGUGAGCAAUAUAUCGGAACGUGCCCAGUCGUGGGGGAUAACGCAGCGAAAGCUGUGCUAAUACCGCAUACGAUCUACGGAUGAAGGCGGGGGAUCGCAAGACCUCGCGCGAUUGGAGCGGCCGAUAUCAGAUUAGCUAGUUGGUGAGGUAAAGGCUCACCAAGGCGACGAUCUGUAGCCGGUCUGAGAGGACGACCAGCCACACUGGAACUGAGACACGGUCCAGACUCCUACGGGAGGCAGCAGUGGGGAAUUUUGGACAAUGGGCGCAAGCCUGAUCCAGCAAUGCCGCGUGCAGGAUGAAGGCCUUCGGGUUGUAAACUGCUUUUGUACGGAACGAAACGGUGAGCUCUAAUACAGUUUGCUAAUGACGGUACCGUAAGAAUAAGCACCGGCUAACUACGUGCCAGCAGCCGCCGUAAUAC